UUCUCUCUCUGACGCACGCCCAUCAUCACCAAAUCACUCCUCCGGCCAUUGCAUGUCCGCCUCUCCUCUCUCGAUUCGCGUGCCUUUCGCCAAAUCUUGAUCACCCUUUUCGUUUCUGCCCUCUUGGGUUCCUGUCUGCAGCGAGAACGAAGCGCAGCCGACCUCGAUCAAAUUGCAGCGGAAGAUGGGGUCGCUGAGGGAGCGUCUGAUCUCGAACCGGGGCUGCUCGGAGCUGGGUCUCUCCCACAUCGAGUCCGUCGGCGGCCGGAGGGCCUCCUGCUGCUGCUGCUGCUGCUGCCCGUACCGCCGCGCCGGCGAGACGGCGGCGGGGUGGCGGAGGAGCCUGGAGCGGGUCGCGUCCAGGGCGUACAGCAUGGGCAAGUCCGACCCGAGGAAGAUCGUGUUCUCGGCGAAGAUGGGCCUGGCUCUGACGCUGGUCUCGCUGUUGAUAUUCUGGAAGGAGCCCUUCAACUCCAACGACUUGAGCCGGUACUAUGUUUGGGCGCUUCUCACGGUCAUCGUCGUGUUCGAGUUCAGUAUAGGCGCUACUCUUAGCAAGGGAUUAAACCGGGGCAUAGGGACAUUAUCAGCAGGAGGGCUUGCUCUAGGCAUGGCAGAAUUGUCCCAGAUGGCUGGAGAAUGGGAAGAACCUGUUAUUAUCCUCAGCAUAUUCCUUAUAGGAUCUAUUGCAACUUAUGCAAAACUGUACCCGACGAUGAAGCCUUACGAAUACGGGAUUAGAGUUUUCUUGCUGACAUAUUCUCUUGUAAUGGUGUCCGGAUAUAGGACAAGGGAAUUCAUCCAUACAGCUGUUGCACGCUUCUUCCUCAUUGCGCUAGGUGCUGGUGUUGGCCUGGCAGUAAAUGUUUGCAUUUUUCCCAUCUGGGCUGGCGAGGACCUGCAUAAGUUAGUGGUAAAGAACUUCAAGGGGGUCGCAACUUCUUUGGAAGGUUGUGUUAAUGGGUACCUCAAUUGUAUUGAAUAUGAAAGGGUUCCCUCGAAAAUUCUUACUUAUCAGGCCUCUGAUGAUCCACUCUAUAAUGGCUACAGAGCAGCUGUAGAAUCCACCAGCAAAGAAGAUGCUCUGUUAGGUUUUGCUAUCUGGGAGCCACCUCAUGGUCCAUACAGAGCAUUUAGGUAUCCCUGGAAGAACUAUGUUAAAGUAAGCGGUGCACUGAGGCAUUGUGCAUUCACGGUCAUGGCAUUGCAUGGAUGCAUACUUUCUGAAAUCCAGGCUCCAGCUGAGCGAAGACAGGUCUUUCGCAAUGAGCUGCAGCGGGUAGGUAACGCAGGUGCUAAGGUACUACGCGAACUUGGGAAUAAGGUAAAGAAGAUGGAAAAAUUGGGGCCUGUAGACAUUCUCUUCGAAGUGCACGAGGCUGCAGAAGAGUUGCAGAACAAAGUUGACCGGAAGUCAUAUCUUUUAGUCAACUCAGAGAGCUGGGAAAUCGGAAACCGAGCAAAAGAAUCAGCAGAGCCUCAAGAUCUUCUUAACUUUGAUGAUGAUGAAAAUAGGGUUUUACAGUAUAAGUCACUUAGUGAAGCUGUACUAGAUCUUAGGCCAUUUUCUGCACCAAGAAGUCUGGACUCGGCGAAGCCAAACACGGGGUUGAAACCCCCAGUUCCUGUAUUUAUACCCGCGGAUGGUGUGAUGACGAAACAGAUAUCAUGGACUGCGGGAAUCUCGCUGACGACUGAUCCUGUUGUUGAAGAAUCAAAAACAUAUGAAAGUGCAAGUGCUCUGUCUCUAGCAACGUUCACGUCGCUCCUCAUUGAGUUUGUUGCAAGGUUACAAAAUCUUGUGGACGCUUUUGAAGAAUUAAGUGAAAAGGCAAAUUUCAGGGAACCGGUUGAGCCAUCAGCAGUAGCAGAGCCUGUAGGGAUAUUCGGCAGAUUGCGGAGAUUCAUCAAGUGUUGAUAAUUGGAUGUUGCACGUGGCAGGGAAGGAUGAACCUCUGAAAAGCUUCCAGAGCCAAAAUGAAGAUACAAAUCUUGUAACCACAAGAUCAAGUACGGGAAUUGUUUUACAUUCCCGGUGCCCUGAAAAGGAUACACCAUAAUGGAACUUAUGAGUCGUGGAUAGGCUUAUUGGAACUAAAGCAAAAUACAGAAAAGAGAACAGAAGCUAGGCAAUUUUCCUGUAGAAGUAGAAUUGCUGACAAGUAAAAAGGCAUCAUUUUUUAGGGAUCUAAACAAGCAGGCGAUAGGUCGGCACUGAUAACAAGUGAUUAGCUCUUGGAACUGAUAAGCCGAAUCUUUCGCUCGUGUCUAUAUCGCUCGGUACCAUGUCGUCGGGUAAUUCCCACUUGAAGCAAUGUGCUAAUUGAGCCAAAACAAGCUUCACUUGUAUCAGACCUAACUGAAUUCCGGGGCAUCCCCUACGUCCUGAACCGAAAGGAAGCAGCUCGAAAUGAUUCCCUUUCACGUCUAUGCCAUUGUCGGCAAAUCUUUCGGGUACGAAUUCUUCGGCGUUUUCCGACCACACACUAGGAUCUCGCCCAAUUGCCCAUACGUUCACGAUGAUUCGUGACUUCUUCGGUAUGAAGCAUUCGUUUAUGACCGCAUCUUCCAUGGAUUCUCGGGGAACUAGUAAUGGUAUAACUGGAUGAAGUCUCAUGCUUUCCUUCACCACCAUGUCCAAGUAAUUUAGCUUUGGUAGAUCUGACUCCUCAACCAUUCUAGUCAAGCCAACAAUGGCUUCUAGCUCUCCUUGAAGGCGUGCCAUUGCCUGCGGAUGCCUCAUGAGUUCGGAAAAUGCCCAGUCGAUGGAGGUCGACGACGUCUCAAACGAACCCGAGAUCAUGUCCAGUAUUAUGGCCUUUAUAUUCGAUCGCUCUAUGAUAUAUUUUUCUUCACGAGGGUCAAUGGGUUGGUUCAUCAUCGAAAGCAAUAUGGCGAUGAAAUCCUGCUGAUGUUUGCUGUCAUAAUGAGCGGCGUCUUGCACGUGGUCGUCAAUAAUCUUCUCUAGGAGCUUGUCAACCGACCUUCGAACCGCCUUGAACUGCCGAGUCGACCCCUAAGAAGAACAAACUUCAUCAGUACCUUGCUCGAGCUUGCCAUGGAAGAUAGACCAGAAGGCGAUGGAUCAUUAGUAAUGGAAGAUGACUAUUCCAUCAUCGAUUAGAAGUUCUGUCAUGUUGAAUUUCCCUCUUAAUGUACACUCAAAACUUGUCUGUGCAUACUGCUAUUGUCCAUAUUCCGAUGGCGAUGUUCCUUUUUGUCGAUUA